GCCAUUUCGUGACGCCGCGAGACCGAGAAUCUGUAGGAGCAGAACCAGAGGGAAGCGGGUGGGCCUGUCGGAGCGUUAGGAUUUGAGCUUGGGCCUUUUGAACCCAGGAUCUCGGUAAGGGACCGGCGAACGGAGGGAGGGAGGUGGAGGGAGGGAGGUGGAGUUCCGCAGACUCGAGGUGGGGCCGGGCGCAAUGGCGGCACCAGAUUGAGACAAAGGGGCGCCGCCGCCAUUUUGUGACUUUCGGUCCCGGGCGGCGGCUGGGGCCCCGGGCAAUGUUGAAGAUGCUUCCAAGUCAUCUUUUUUUUAUGCCGACUUGGUGUUUGCUUUAAAAAUCUUUUCUAAUGAGGCUGCGUUUCUUAAUGUAAAUCAUAGUUCACUUUGAGUUGGGUUUUUCUUUGACCUAUUUGCUUUUAACAGGUGUGAAAACCGGGGAUGGAUGAGUUUCAUUUGUCUUUUUGUUUGUUUUUUUAAUUUUCGCGGAAUGGCUUGGUCGCUCAACUGAGUCUUGGGCACAGGGUGGGGUCACGGCAAAAUAGGGUUAAAUUUUUUAGUUUGAUAAUAGUCGGUUUGAACAUUAUGGUGUAUAGUAGGGAAGACACUUAAAUGGCUUAUUAAGUAGGGUUUUCAUUUCGGAAGUGUGAAGUUGAAGACUUACUGAGUGUAUGUCCUCAAGGUUGUAUGUUGUAUGUCCUUUUAGUAAAGAUUCUUUUACGCAGGAGUUUAGGGUGCACGGUGCAGGCCACUACAUGCCUAGCAGACCUCAACAUUUACUUUUAUGCACUUUUUACUAAAAGACGGGGGGUCACUAGCAAACUUCAUAACUGUCAUUCCUCUAGCCUGUUGAGCCACAAGCAUGCUUGCCUUCCUAGCUAUGAUAGUUUUGUUGUGGAACCUUUGUGUGGUUCCAAGAUAUUUAUUUUUGUUUGUUCCUGAGACAGUUCUUGCUGUAAAUCAGGCUGGCUGUCUUGGUUUACUCAACUUUUUUAGAUCUGGUCUCCAACUCAUCAUUUCCCUCCUCCUUCAGAGUGCUGGGAUCAAAGGUGUGUGUGUGUGCGUGCGCACACCACCUUCCUGAUGCACUUAGUUUUUGAGACAGGGUAAGUUAUGCUUCAACUUCUGCAUUCCUUUUUCUGUAGUGCCGGCCUUCUCAGAAUUCCCUGCCUCUCCUUGGGAUUUCUUUUAAGUGUCUGGAUUUUCCAUUUCAAGCAUUUCACAUGUAGGGAAUUGUAAUGGCCUUUUCUGGUUUUAGAAUGUUUUCAAGACUUUUAAACUUAGUAGUAGACAGUAUAUUCCUGAAUACUGUGUCACAUUCUAGAUCUCCAUCUCCUGGUAGUCAUUUAGAUUGGCACAGCUUUCACUAUUGAGAGCAGUGCUGUAGUGAGGCUUUGACAUGUUUUUCAUUGUGUCUGUAGUUCUGGGGAUUAAGUUUCAGUUGCAUGCUAGACAAGCUCCCCACCACUGAACCACAUUGAGACUUGAAUAUAUGCUUGGAAAACAAAUGGAGCCAGGUGUGGUGACUCACAGUUGUCUUAGUCCUUGAGAGCCAGGCUAGCCUGGCCUAUCUACAGUGAGACACUUUUCUUAGAACAAUAGCACAUGGUUUGGCUGCUUGGAGAAUUUUAACUGCUUAUUAGAGAAGUGUUUAGAAAAAAGUGGUAUUAGUGUUAAGACAGUAAAGGAAAUUUUUGUGGCAGUGUAUCUUGGAAGUAUUUGAUUGCGACAGGACUUUAACUGUAGCCCUGCCUGGCCUCAAACUUGUGAUUUUUUUUUUAAGAUUAUUUAUUUAUUCUAUGUAAAUACACUGUUGCUGUCUUAGACACUCCAGAAGAGAGAGUCAGAUCUUGUUAUGGAUGGUUGUGAGCCACCAUGUGGUUGUUGGGAAUUGAACUCAGGACCUUUGGAAGAGCAGUCGGUGCUCUUAACCAUAACCGCCGAGCCAUCUCUCCAGCCCCAAACUUGUGAUCUUAAUUAAUUACUUUUAAAAACUAGAAAUACAGGUUCUGCCCAAGGAAGGAAGCCUUAGUUUAUUUUGUGUUUGUGGGAUGGUGUGUGCACCACAAUAAAGGUCAGAAGAUAAUUUGUAGUUUUUCUACAAUGUGUGUCCCGUAGCUGAACUCAGGUGGACAUGGUUCCCUAUGCCUUUAUUCUUCUACAUCUCUCCUAAGGAAACUUGGAAUGUAAGGUUUUGCAUCCCAGCAAAAGUCCCAGCACUUGGGAGGCAGAGGCAGGCGGAUUUCUGAGUUCGAGGACAGCCAGGGCUAUACAGAGAAGUCCUGUCUCGGAAAACAAAACAAAAAAUAGUUUGAUGCCUCAGUAGCAGAAGCUGGUCUUCAACUCCUGCCUCCACCUGUGAAUUGUAAGAACUAAAAGUACAGAUGUAGGCCACCACUCAGCACUCUGGUUAAAUUUAAUUUGAAGUUAAACAGAGUUUAAGCCUCAUAUACAGGGUUUGUGGAGCCUUGCACAGAUAUUCAAGGUCAGCCUGGGAUACUUGAGACCCUGUCUUUAAAAGAAGUGAUAAGCCCUGUCUCGAAAAACCCAAUAAAUAAAUAAAUAAAUAAAU
rnacentral:lncRNA from 1 species